AGUGAACGCUGGCGGUAGGCCUAACACAUGCAAGUCGAACGGCAGCACAGUAAGAGCUUGCUCUUACGGGUGUCGAGUGGCGGACGGGUGAGGAAUACAUCGGAAUCUACUUUUUCGUGGGGGAUAACGUAGGGAAACUUACGCUAAUACCGCAUACGACCUACUGGUGAAAGCAGGGGAUCUUCGGACCUUGCGCGAUUGAAUGAGCCGAUGUCGGAUUAGCUAGUUGGCGGGGUAAAGGCCCACCACGGCUACGAUCCGUAGCUGGUCUGAGAGGAUGGUCACACAGACUGGAACUGAGACACGGCCCAGACUCUGACGGGAGGCAGCAGUGGGGAAUAUUGCACGAUGGGGGAAAGCCUGAUCCAGCAAUACCGCGUGGGUGAAGAAGGACUUCGGGUUGUAGAGCGCUUUUGUUGGGAGAGAAGAGCAGCAUGUUUAUACCCCGCUGUUCUGACGGUACCCAAAGAAUAAGCACCGGCUAACUUCGUG
rnacentral:rRNA from 1 species